AGCUAACCAACGAGAUGAGGAUGGUCAUUGUCAUUUUCUAAGCUGCGAACGGGCAGGAAGCUACACAACGAGAUGAGGAUGGUCAUUGUCAUUUUCUGAGCUGCGAACGGGCAGAAAGCUAACCAACGAGAUGGGGAUGGUCAUUGUCAUUUUCUGAGCUGCGAACGGGCAGAAAG